UAUAAUUUUCAGUGGACAAAUUAGUGCU
rnacentral:piRNA from 1 species